GACGUAGGGCGCGAGCGUUGUCCGGAUUUAUUGGGCGUAAAGAGCUCGUAGGCGGCUUGUUGCGUCGACCGUGAAAACCCGGGGCUCAACUUCGGGCUUGCGGUCGAUACGGGCGGGCUAGAGUUCGGUAGGGGAGACUGGAAUUCCUGGUGUAGCGGUGAAAUGCGCAGAUAUCAGGAGGAACACCGAUGGCGAAGGCAGGUCUCUGGGCUGACACUGACGCUCAUGCACGAAAGCGUGGGGAGCAAACAGG
rnacentral:rRNA from 1 species